UACAGAGCUUGCUCCUUGAUUCAGCGGCGGACGGGUGAGUAAUGCCUAGGAAUCUGCCUGGUAGUGGGGGACAACGUUUCGAAAGGAACGCUAAUACCGCAUACGUCCUACGGGAGAAAGCAGGGGACCUUCGGGCCUUGCGCUAUCAGAUGAGCCUAGGUCGGAUUAGCUAGUAGGUGAGGUAAUGGCUCACCUAGGCGACGAUCCGUAACUGGUCUGAGAGGAUGAUCAGUCACACUGGAACUGAGACACGGUCCAGACUCCUACGGGAGGCAGCAGUGGGGAAUAUUGGACAAUGGGCGAAAGCCUGAUCCAGCCAUGCCGCGUGUGUGAAGAAGGUCUUCGGAUUGUAAAGCACUUUAAGUUGGGAGGAAGGGCAGUAAGCUAAUACCUUGCUGUUUUGACGUUACCGACAGAAUAAGCACCGGCUAACUCUGUGCCAGCAGCCGCGGUAAUACAGAGGGUGCAAGCGUUAAUCGGAAUUACUGGGCGUAAAGCGCGCGUAGGUGGUUCGUUAAGUUGGAUGUGAAAGCCCCGGGCUCAACCUGGGAACUGCAUCCAAAAUGGCGAGCUAGAUAUGGUAGAGGGUGGUGGAAUUCCUGUGUAGCGGGAAAUGCGUAAAUUCGGAAGAACCCCAGUGGGAAGGCAACGCCUGGACCACCUGGACUGAUACUGACACUGAGGUGCGAAAGCGUGGGGAGCAAACAGGAUUAGAU
rnacentral:rRNA from 1 species